rnacentral:rRNA from 1 species
GGCUCUUUGAUUAUAUAGAUAUAAAGAGUCGAGCCUGCCCAGUGAAGUUCUUUUAACGGCCGCGGUACUCUGACCGUGCAAAGGUAGCAUAAUCAUUUGCCUUAUAAUUGAAGGCUAGUAUGAAUGGUUUAACGAAAGCAACACUGUCUCCUUAUUAUUUUCAAAAAUUUAACUUUUAGGUGAAGAGGCCUAAAUUUUAUUGAAGGACAAGAAGACCCUGUCGAGCUUAAAAGACAUUUUAGAGUUUUAAUAUGCUUUUAAAUAAAUUUUCUAUUAAGCUUUUUAGUUGGGGCGACUAAGGAACAAAAAAAGCUUCUUAUAAAAAAUAAACAGUCAUGUUUAGAUCCGGCAAUAACCGAUUAAAGAAAUUAGUUACCGCAGGGAUAACAGCAUAAUCUCUCUUAAGAGACCUAAUCGAAAGAGAGGGUUGUGACCUCGAUGUUGGACUAGAAUAUCCUAAAGAUGCAGAAGUCUUUAAAAGGUCGGUCUGUUCGACCGUUAAAAUUCU